rnacentral:rRNA from 1 species
GCGAAGAAGAGCGCGGCCGUCUUGGAGAGGGAACGAGAGGAGCAGCUUUCAAAAAUCUUCAAGGACCUCAACGAAGCCGUC